rnacentral:rRNA from 1 species
AGUGAACGCUGGCGGUAGGCCUAACACAUGCAAGUCGAACGGCAGCACAGUAAGAGCUUGCUCUUACGGGUGGCGAGUGGCGGACGGGUGAGGAAUACAUCGGAAUCUACUUUUUCGUGGGGGAUAACGUAGGGAAACUUACGCUAAUACCGCACACGACCUACGGGUGAAAGCAGGGGAUCUUCGGACCUUGCGCGAUUGAAUGAGCCGAUGUCGGAUUAGCUAGUUGGCGGGGUAAAGGCCCACCAAGGCGACGAUCCGUAGCUGGUCUGAGAGGAUGAUCAGCCACACUGGAACUGAGACACGGUCCAGACUCCUACGGGAGGCAGCAGUGGGGAAUAUUGGACAAUGGGCGAGAGCCUGAUCCAGCCAUACCGCGUAGGUGAAGAAGGCCUUCGGGUUGUAAAGCCCUUUUGUUGGGAAAGAAAAGCAGCAGGUUAAUACCCCGCUGUUCUGACGGUACCCGAAGAAUAAGCACCGGCUAACUUCGUG